rnacentral:lncRNA from 1 species
GAGUAAGUCAUCGCGUCGCCCCAUCGGCAAGCGCAUAUAAGGACUCGCUCUCCGGUCGACGUAUAAGAGGCCUCGAGCGGAGUCGUCGGAAAGGGAAGGGUUCUAGGGUGGUUUCCUUGUCUCGUCGUUGCUCUUCACCGCAUUUAGAACAAGAAAUAUGGUGUGAUGAUGACUCCUCCUCUGUUAUUUCUUAUGUCGUAGUAAUAGUGUUCUUUGUUUCUUGGAAUCUCCUUUGGUGUUCAGUCUUGUUGUCGUUUCUGAUGUAAAUAAUCUUGGUUUUCGUCGGAAUCUUUUGGUACUAAUUAUUGGAUUUUUGUGGAAACCAAUUCGUGUUUCCUUCUUUUACUCGAAGUUUGUUUAUUAGGGUUGUUGAUUCUUCGUUACUUGGAAUCACUAUUUAUUUGGGUUCUUGAUGGUCCUUAUCGGAAAUUUGUGGGUACUAAAUCGUGUUUUCUUCUGUCGAUAUAUGUUCAGUAAGGUUCUUGCUGGAUUAUUUUGGGUAUUAGUUCAUGUUUUCGCCUUUUUCCUGACAUUUGGUAGGGUUCUUGAUGGUUCCCUUUGGGUACUGAUACUUUUUAAAAUUUUUGUCUAUUAGGGUUCUUCUUGAUGGAUUUUUGUGGGUAUUAUUAGUUUAUGUUUUCUUCUUUUACUCGAUAUUUGUUGGGGUUCUUAAUGCUUCUUUUUCGGUACUAAUUCUUCUUGUGAUCUCUAUUUUCUUGAUGGAUUUUCGUGGGUAUUAGUUCAUGUUUUCUUCUAAUGCUCGACAUUUGUUAUGUUCUUGAUGGAUUCUUGUGGGCCCGAGUUUAUGUUUCCGUUUCGUACUCAAACAUCUAUUAGGGUUCUUGAUGGUUGUUUUCAGGAACUGAUAGUUUGUUUGGAUUCUUCUUAUAGUCUCUGUUUGUUUGGAUUUUUCUUGAUGGANNNNNNNNNNNNNNNNNNNNUUCUCGUGGGUAUUAGUUCAUGAUUUCUUCUUUUACUCGACAUUUAGGGUACUGAUUUUUCUUGUAGUCUCUGUUUGUUGGGGUUUCUUUAUGGAUUCUCGUGGGUAUUAGUUCAUGAUUUCUUUUUUUACUCGACAUUGAGGGUACUGAUUCUUCUUGUAGUCUCUGUUUUUUGGGGUUUUUCUUGAUGGAUUCUCGUGGGAAUUAGUUCAUGAUUUCUUCUUUUACGCCACAUUUAGGAUACUGAUUCUUCUUGUAGUCCCUGUUUGUUGGGAUUCUUCUUGAUGGAUUCUCGUGGGUAUUAGUUCAUGUUUUCUUCUUUUACUCGACAUUUAUUUGAGUUCUCGAUGAUUCUUUCUGAGUACUGAUUCUUUUUGUAACCAUAUUGGAUCUAAUCCAACAGACAGCCAACUACAAGCAACUCAAGAAGGGUGCUAACGAAGUUUUUUUUUUUUGUCUUUUGUUGAGAUGUAACCAGGUUGUUAUGGAAGUGCACACACACAACGGUUGUUAUGGAAGUGACGAUAUAGGGGAAGAGAUAACAUUCUUUGAUAUGGAAGUGACGAUAUAGGGGAAGAAAUAACAUUCUUUGAUGAGAUGUAACUAAGGGUUGACGUUAUGGCAUUGGGUAUAUUAUUAGUCCACUACUAGUUUUCCAGCUUGGGAUGUAGUAAGUAGGUCCCCAUCCAUCCAUCCAUCCAUGUACUUACUAUCUCAUUAUUAUACAAAAUAUAUAGGGAUUGAUCGUUUGAUUAGAAUGUUAAUCUGACAUUUGGUUGAAGGAAAGCCAAAUGUUGAUGCGAGUGGCUGAAUGCCAGUGAUCUUUUUUGUCUAAACGCUACUUCCAAGCAGUGAGUGGUGUGGUGGUUACACACAAUUCAAUAGUUUUUUUUAUUUAUUAUUGGGGUUUUAAAAUUGCGAAUCCGUGUGAAUUGUGUGUAUGUUUGUUGCAAUGUUCAGAUUUUCUGUUCCCUAUGUUUUUUUGUUCCUCAAGCACUUUUUGGGUCGAGCUUGUGG